rnacentral:lncRNA from 1 species
GAAAUGGUCUGCAUUGAACUGACGGGUUCUUUGUAGCUCAAUAAAAGGCUGACGGGCCCAGUGGAACAAGAUAGGUUCAAAGGUCAUGAGAGAUGAUCGAACCUGGUAUUGAGGUGGAAUUCUUGCUUGUAGCAAGAAGUAUGGUGUGUUCUAGCUUGGCAAAGUGUUGCCGGGUAGUUGAUUGUGUGUCUUUUUCUAUGUGACUGAUAAGUGUGG